rnacentral:rRNA from 1 species
AUGUAUAAGUUUAAUCGUUUUUACGAGAAACCGCGAACGGCUCAUUACAAUGGCCAUGAUUUACUUGAUCUUGAUAAAUCCUAAAUGGAUAACUGUGGAAAAUCUAGAGCUAAUACAUGCACUAAAGCUAUGUCCUUCGGAAUAGCGCAUUUAUUAGAACAAAACCAAGCGGCUUCGGCUGCUUUUUGGUGAUUCAGAAUAACUAAGCUGACCGCAUGGCCUUGUGCCGGCGGCGUGUCUUUCAAGUGUCCACUUUAUCAACUUGACGGGAGCAUAAUCGACUCCCGUGGUGGUGACGGAUAACGGAGGAUCAGGGUUCGACUCCGGAGAAGGGGCCUGAGAAAUGGCCACUACGUCUAAGGAUGGCAGCAGGCGCGCAAAUUACCCACUCUCGGCUCGAGGAGGUAGUGACGAGAAAUAACGAGAUCGUUCUCUUAUGAGGCCGGUCAUCGGAAUGGGUACAAUUUAAACCCUUUAACGAGUAUCAAGCAGAGGGCAAGUCUGGUGCCAGCAGCCGCGGUAAUUCCAGCUCUGCCAAUGCAUAGACUUAUUGCUGCGGUUAAAAAGCUCGUAGUUGGAUCUGUUUCGAUAUCCUGGAACCCUUUUUAGGUGUUUCUAGGUUUUAUCGAUUUUUCGUAAUGUUUCGGACUUGAAUUCUUAACGGAAUUCAUUUCUAGACAUUGCAGGUUUACUUUGAACAAAUCAGAGUGCUUCAAACAAGCGUUUUCGCUUGAAUGAUCGUGCAUGGAAUAAUAGAAAACGAUUUCGGUUCAGUUUUAUUGGUUUUACGGACUGAGAUAAUGGUUAACAGAGACAAACGGGGGCAUUUGUAUGGCCCCGUGAGAGGUGAAAUUCUUGGACCGUGCCAGAACAACUACAGCGAAAGCAUUUGCCAAGAAUGUCUUCAUUAAUCAAGAACGAAAGUCAGAGGUUCGAAGGCGAUCAGAUACCGCCCUAGUUCUGACCGUAAACGAUGCCAACUAGCGAUCCGCCGAUGGAGAUUAUAUUGCCUUGGUGGGGAGCUUCCCGGAAACGAAAGUCUUCCGGUUCCGGGGGAAGUAUGGUUGCAAAGCUGAAACUUAAAGGAAUUGACGGAAGGGCACCACCAGGAGUGGAGCCUGCGGCUUAAUUUGACUCAACACGGGGAAACUCACCCGGCCCGGACACUGUGAGGAUUGACAGAUUGAUAGCUUUUUCAUGAUUCAGUGGAUGGUGGUGCAUGGCCGUUCUUAGUUCGUGGAGUGAUUUGUCUGGUUUAUUCCGAUAACGAGCGAGACUCUAACCUACUAAAUAGCUGAUACAUAUUUUUGUGUAUUCGGCUUCUUAGAGGGAUUUGCGGUGUUCAGCCGAAAGAAAUUGAGCAAUAACAGGUCUGUGAUGCCCUUAGAUGUCCGGGGCUGCACGCGCGCUACACUGGCAAAAUCAACGUGCUUGUCCUGCCCCGAAAGGGGUGGGUAAACCAUUGAAAAUUUGCCGUGAUUGGGAUCGGAAAUUGCAAUUAUUUUCCGUGAACGAGGAAUUCCAAGUAAGUGCGAGUCAUCAGCUCGCGUUGAUUACGUCCCUGCCCUUUGUACACACCCCCCGUCGCUGCCCGGGGAUGAGCCAUUUUGAGAAAUUUGGGGGCCGUUGAUUUAAUUUUUUUAAAUUACUUUUGAUGGAAACCAAUUUAAUCGCAGUGGCUUGAACCGGGCAAAAGUCGUAACAAGGUAGCUGUAGGUGAACCUGCUGCUGGAUCAUUACUUUUAUGUGAUGUUCAUAUUUGAAAUUUCACACCUUUAGAUGUGUAACGGCUGUCGCUGGUGUCUAUGUGUUGCUGAUUCAGUUGUGAACGUCCGUGACUGAAUAUGAGGUGACAUGUUAGGAUCUUUUUUAAGAUCGUAAGACUUAAUGAGCCCUUUAUUGGGACGCCAGCACCCUUUUUUUCUUUAAAUUUUUUUAAAAAACGAAAAAUUCUAGCCUUACCGG